UACGUAGGGUGCGAGCGUUGUCCGGAGUUAUUGGGCGUAAAGAGCUUGUAGGCGGUUUGUCGCGUCUGCCGUGAAAAUCCGGGGCUCAACUCCGGAUCUGCGGUGGGUACGGGCAGACUAGAGUGAUGUAGGGGAGACUGGAAUUCCUGGUGUAGCGGUGAAAUGCGCAGAUAUCAGGAGGAACACCGAUGGCGAAGGCAGGUCUCUGGGCAUUAACUGACGCUGAGGAGCGAAAGCAUGGGGAGCGAACAGG
rnacentral:rRNA from 1 species